GACGAACGCUGGCGGCGUGCCUAAUACAUGCAAGUAGGACGCAGUUGCGAACGUAAGAGUAACUCGUCGUUACCUGCCUAUUAGAGGGGGAUAACUAAUGGAAACUAUAGCUAAUACCGCAUACUAGUAGAUGGACCUGCUUUGUAUUUGCUAGUCGGUAGGGGAAUGGCCUACCUAGGCGACGAUACAUAGCCGAACUGAGAGGGUGAUCGGCCACAAUGGGACUGAGAAACGGCCCAGACUCCGACGGGAGGCAGCAGUAGGGAAUCUUCGGCAAUGGGGGGAACCCUGACCGAGCAACGCCGCGUGAGUGAAGAAGGUUGUCGGAUCGUAAAGCUCUGUUGUUAAGGAAGCGGUACUUAACCAGAAAGGGACGGCUAACUACGUGCCAGCAGCCGCGGUAAUAC
rnacentral:rRNA from 1 species